CAAACGAGCAUCGACAUGUGAACGUAAAUGGCGGCUAGCGGCUUUUGUCGUUAAGCCAAGUGAUGUCGAGG
rnacentral:rRNA from 1 species